GUGGGGAAUAUUGCACAAUGGGCGCAAGCCUGAUGCAGCAACGCCGCGUGAGGGACGACGGCCUUCGGGUUGUAAACCUCUUUUAGUAGGGAAGAAGCGAAAGUGACGGUACCUGCAGAAAAAGCACCGGCUAACUACGUGCCAGCAGCCGCGGUAAUACGUAGGGUGCAAGCGUUGUCCGGAAUUAUUGGGCGUAAAGAGCUCGUAGGCGGUUUGUCGCGUCUGCUGUGAAAACCCGAGGCUCAACCUCGGGCCUGCAGUGGGUACGGGCAGACUAGAGUGCGGUAGGGGAGAAUGGAAUUCCUGGUGUAGCGGUGGAAUGCGCAGAUAUCAGGAGGAACACCGAUGGCGAAGGCAGUUCUCUGGGCCGUAACUGACGCUGAGGAGCGAAAGCGUGGGGAGCGAACAGGAUUAGAUACCCUGGUAGUCCACGCCGUAAACGUUGGGCGCUAGAUGUGGGGACCAUUCCACGGUUUCCGUGUCGCAGCUAACGCAUUAAGCGCCCC
rnacentral:rRNA from 1 species